rnacentral:rRNA from 1 species
GAUGAACGCUGGCGGCGUGCUUAACACAUGCAAGUCGAACGGAAAGGCUCCAGCUUGCAGGGGUACUCGAGUGGCGAACGGGGGCGUAACACGUGGGUGAUCUGCCCUGCACUUCGGGAUAAGCCUGGGAAACUGGGUCUAAUACCGGAUAGGACCACACUUUGGAUGGAGAGGUGGAAAGUUUUUCGGUGUGGGAUGAGCACGCGGCCUAUCAGCUUGUUGGUGGGGUAAUGGCCUAUCAAGGAGUCGGCGGGUAGCCGGCCUGAGAGGGUGUACGGCCACAUUGGUCCUGAGAUACGGCCCAGACUCCUACGGUAGACAGCAGUGGCGAGUCUGGCACAAUGGUCGCGCGCCUGAUGCAGCGGCGCCGCGUGUGUGAUGACGGCCUUCGGGUUGUAAACUCCUUUCGCUAGGGACGAAGCGCAAGUGACGGUACCUGGAGAAGAAGCACCGGCUAACUACGUG